GACGAACGCUGGCGGCGUGCUUAACACAUGCAAGUUGAACGGUAUGACAUGGAAGCUUGCUGAAGUGUCAUAUAGUAGCGGACGGGUGAGUAAUGCAUGAGAAGCUGCCAUUGGGAGGGGGACAACAGUUGGAAACGGCUGCUAAUACCCCGUAUGCCGAAGGGUGAAAGGAAUUAUUCCGCCCAAUAAGGUGCCCAUUUCCUACCACCUGGUUGGUGGGGUAACGGCCUACCAAGGCAACAACGGGUACCCGGCCUGAAAGGGUGAACGGCCACACUGGAACUGAGAUACGGUCCAGACUCCUACGGGAGGCAGCAGUGGGGAAUAUUGGGCAAUGGGGGCAACCCUGACCCAGCGACGCCGCGUGGGGGAAGACGGCCUUCGGGUUGUAAACCUCUUUUGUACGGGAAGAAGGAAGUGACGGUACUGUACGAAUAAGUCCCGGCUAACUACGUGCCAGCAGCCGCGGUAAUACGUAGGGGACGAGCGUUGUCCGGAAUUACUGGGCGUAAAGGGCGCGCAGGCUGUGCUGCAAGUCAGCUGUUAAAUGUCUGGGCUUAACCCGGGCAUGCGGUUGAAACUGCGGUGCUGGAGUGCUGUAGAGGCAAGUGGAAUUCCCAGUGUAGCGGUGAAAUGCGUAGAUAUUGGGAAGAACACCGGUGGCGAAGGCGACUUGCUGGGCAGCAACUGACGCUGAGGCGCGAAAGCCAGGGGAGCAAACGGGAUUAGAUACCCCGGUAGUCCUGGCCGUAAACGAUGAAUGCUAGGUGUGGGUGUAGAGAUACAUUCGUGCCGGAGUUAACGCGAUAAGCAUUCCGCCUGGGGAGUACGGUCGCAAGACUGAAACUCAAAGGAAUUGACGGGGGCCCGCACAAGCGGUGGAGCACGUGGUUUAAUUCGAUGCAAA
rnacentral:rRNA from 1 species